CCUACGGGAGGCUGCAGUGAGGAAUAUUGGUCAAUGGGCGCUAGCCUGAACCAGCCAAGUAGCGUGAAGGAUGACUGCCCUAUGGGUUGUAAACUUCUUUUAUAUGGGAGUAAAGUGCAGUAUGUAUACCGCUUUGCAUGUACCUUAUGAAUAAGGAUCGGCUAACUCCGUGCCAGCAGCCGCGGUAAUACGGAGGAUCCGAGCGUUAUCCGGAUUUAUUGGGUUUAAAGGGAGCGUAGGCGGUUUGUUAAGUCAGUUGUGAAAGUGUUCGGCUCAACCGUAAAAUUGCAUUUGAUACUGGCAUCCUUGAGUACAGUAGAGGUAGGCGGAAGUCGAGGUGUAGCGGUGAAAUGCUUAGAUAUAACGAAGAACACCGAUGGCGAAGGCAGCCUGCUGGACUGUAACUGACGCUGAUGCUCGAAAGUGUGGGUAGCAAACAGGAUUAGAUACCCUGGUAGUC
rnacentral:rRNA from 1 species